rnacentral:lncRNA from 1 species
CUGAUUUUACUAUUUUUAUGUCUGGACAGAGUUUAUAUUAGGAAGAUAUAUUUGAUGUGGACAGGAUGUGAAAAUGGCAUUUCUCUGAAGGUGUUGAGAUGCAGCGCUCUGACUUAAGUUGAGGCGUUGAGAAUUAUGUUAGCAAUUUGACGUUCAUCAGCGCAGAAGUCUUGUCAUCAAAGAGAAUACAUUGUAGAGAAAGCGGAGCAGAAGGGAAGAACUCCUCCCCGGUGGGACUAGAGAAGGGGCAGUCAAGUAGGCUGAGGAGAGAGAUAGGAACAGUGAUGAUCAUGCUGGCGAUUAGUACUCCA